GUGGGGAAUCUUAGACAAUGGGCGCAAGCCUGAUCUAGCCAUGCCGCGUGAUCGAUGAAGGCCUUAGGGUUGUAAAGAUCUUUCAGUGGGGAAGAUAAUGACUGUACCCAGUAAAGAAGCCCCGGCUAACUCCGUGCCAGCAGCCGCGGUAAUACGGAGGGGGCUAGCGUUGUUCGGAAUUACUGGGCGUAAAGCGCGCGUAGGCGGAUUGGAAAGUUGGGGGUGAAAUCCCGGGGCUCAACCUCGGAACUGCCUUCAAAACUCCCAGUCUUGAGUUCGAGAGAGGUGAGUGGAAUUCCGAGUGUAGAGGUGAAAUUCGUAGAUAUUCGGAGGAACACCAGUGGCGAAGGCGGCUCACUGGCUCGAUACUGACGCUGAGGUGCGAAAGCGUGGGGAGCAAACAGGAUUAGAUACCCCUGUAGUCC
rnacentral:rRNA from 1 species